GAUGAACGCUGGCGGCGUGCCUAAUACAUGCAAGUCGAGCGAACAGAUAAGGAGCUUGCUCCUUUGACGUUAGCGGCGGACGGGUGAGUAACACGUGGAUAACCUACCUAUAAGACUGGGAUAACUUCGGGAAACCGGAGCUAAUACCGGAUAACAUAUUGAACCGCAUGGUUCAAUAGUGAAAGGCGGCUUUGCUGUCACUUAUAGAUGGAUCCGCGCCGUAUUAGCUAGUUGGUAAGGUAACGGCUUACCAAGGCAACGAUACGUAGCCGACCUGAGAGAGUGAUCGGCCACACUGGAACUGAGACACGGUCCAGACUCCUACGGGAGGCAGCAGUAGGGAAUCUUCCGCAAUGGGCGAAAGCCUGACGGAGCAACGCCGCGUGAGUGAUGAAGGUCUUCGGAUCGUAAAACUCUGUUAUCAGGGAAGAACAAAUGUGUAAGUAACUGUGCACAUCUUGACGGUACCUGAUCAGAAAGCCACGGCUAACUACGUG
rnacentral:rRNA from 1 species